rnacentral:misc_RNA from 1 species
AUCAAGUUGCCUUUACAUGUUGGAGCGUUAGAGCAUUAUUCGGAGCAAUUCCUGACACCAUUCACAAAAGUGAAUUAGCAGGUGAUAUUUUUAAAUCGAAACUGAAACCUGUUCAGGCACCGCGGCCGUAGUGUCACCACUAUCGCUGUUUACAGACAUGGCGUCGUGUUGUGGUGCGUGCGUGUCUCUGUGGUAAUGCAGUCGUCGUUUAGUGACUUUUUCUUGUGCUACGUCGUGAUGUCGCUUUUAUAUUGCGCUCAUUAACGAAGGAGGAACACGGUGUGCACAGUGUGCGCCACUCCACAGCGGCCCCCUUGUCCGGGAAGGACCGUUGGCCCAAACCAAAGCCCCCCACCCAGUCAGCCCGGGUAGGGGGGGGUGCCGGGGUCAAUGUACCGAACGAUGCUGGGUUGUUGAGUACAUGAACGCUCUGGGGCGUGGUACCUACGGGUGCCAAGUCCCCUUCCCAUCUGACAACGGCACGAAGGAGGAACUUCUGGGCCGGAUAUGAUGCGUCAUACGCGAGGAACUAAUUCAACGGCAACCUACAGCAACACAACCUCGGGGAUCCCUUUGUUUGAUUUGCGGACGGACGUGAUUCGUAGUCUUGGAAGAUACCGUCUUCAAAUGCUUCCGCACAACAGUAAACAGCAGUGCCGAGGUUCCUUCUCCACAACGCGCUCUGUGGCCAGGAGAAAUGCUUUGCGGGCACAUCGGGAAGUCGGCACAUUGCCCCGAGACCAACGGACGCCCGGCAAUCGGCAGCGCGGCACAUCGCCACAAGACGGACGGACGCGUGUUUUUCGUGCCAAAGAAAACCUGUUUUUUUUCAGCCUCUUCCUCUGCAGAUGAUGCUAAUGAUUAAUAUCUGUGAGCAGCACUGACCUAUGGCUGAGUGAAGAGACAUAUAAGUAGGUACAGAUUGGUGUAGGAUUUGUGAUGCCACUCAACAAGUGGCAUUACAUACUAAAGUGUACCUCUGAAGCCAAGUGCGCAUUAGGUCUGGCACAGCACCUGUGGACACCAACACAAGCUGGGGAAAGAAGCCAGACUGGGCAGGCCUGCCGGACUAUCUCUGGUGCAUCUGGGAAGCUUCUGGCAAGACCAGAGAAAGUGGCUGCUGUGAAGAACUGCCUGGAGAAGUACAUCUGGGAACAUCCGAUGGGGCCACCAGCACCACCUUCAGAGCACCGCCUUGCUUCUGUAAGGAAGCACCUUUGGAGCUUCACAGAAGCGGGUGCGAGGGCAAGCGAGUGUGGAAGACGUGAAUCGCCUUAACCUAUUGCAUUUUUUCAAUAAAGUGUGAAGAUAUGGAACAUAUUAUGGUGCUAUAUAUUGAUUCCUUAUGGCAUGAAAAUGUAGCGGCAUACCUGGCCACAUGUAGAUACAGACUGCACACUUUGCAAGACUCAAGCACGCAUGAAGAUAGCCCAUCGCGAGCUUCCCAAGUGCAAUGGCUGCUCCUACCAUUCAUUACACAACUUGCAUUUGACCUGAUGUGCCCACUGUUAU